rnacentral:rRNA from 1 species
AACGGAUAAAAGGUACUCCGGGGAUAACAGGCUGAUACCGCCCAAGAGUUCAUAUCGACGGCGGUGUUUGGCACCUCGAUGUCGGCUCAUCACAUCCUGGGGCUGAAGUAGGUCCCAAGGGUACGGCUGUUCGCCGUUUAAAGUGGUACGCGAGCUGGGUUUAGAACGUCGUGAGACAGUUCGGUCCCUAUCUGCCGUGGGCGUUGGAAGAUUGAAAGGGGCUGCUCCUAGUACGAGAGGACCGGAGUGGACGCACCACUGGUGUUCGGGUUGUCAUGCCAAUGGCAUUGCCCGGUAGCUAAGUGCGGAAGAGAUAACCGCUGAAAGCAUCUAAGCGGGAAACUUGCCUUGAGAUGAGUCUUCCCUGACCCUUUAAGGGUCCUAAAGGAACGUUUAAGACUAAGACGUUGAUAGGUUGGGUGUGUAAGCAUAGCGAUAUGUUGAGCUAACCAAUACUAAUGAACCGUGAGGCUUAACCUG